UACGUAGGUGGCAAGCGUUGUCCGGAAUUAUUGGGCGUAAAGCGCGCGCAGGCGGUCCUUUAAGUCCGAUGUGAAAGCCCACGGCUCAACCGUGGAGGGUCAUUGGAAGCUGGAGGACUUGAGUACAGAAGAGGAAAGCGGAAUUCCACGUGUAGCGGUGAAAUGCGUAGAGAUGUGGAGGAACACCAGUGGCGAAGGCGGCUUUCUGGUCUGUAACUGACGCUGAGGCGCGAAAGCGUGGGGAGCAAACAGG
rnacentral:rRNA from 1 species